UUGACGGGUGAAAAGACUGAUGCAAUUUCUCUGCGCAAUUUGCACAUCGGCCAUCUAUUCUUUUCCAGAUUUUGGGGAUAUCAUCAUCAUCGACAGUGAUAAUAGUGCUUUUCUUCCGUUUUCCUUUGUUGCUCUACUGCCGUUUCUUGCACUCUGAAAUGAGGCAAAAAAAAAAACAAGGAAGCCACGUGGAAACAAGAAGCAACAAGGAAAAAAUGGAUCUUCAGCAUCUUCAUCAGAACAUGUAAUUUUUUUGCUAAAAAUUAGACAAAAAAAAAAAAAAGAAAGCCGCAUGGAAAGAAGCAAACAAGGGAAAGACUGGAUCUCAGCAUGUUUAUUAGAACAAGUGAUAUUUUAGCUCAGUUGGAGAAAUCAUCAAAAGGUUUCAAAAGAGUGGAAACCAAUUACUGCAAAUGGAUAAUGAAAGCAGCUAUGCUAAUCGGCAAGUACUCCUUCCACCGGUCAGUAAUAGCCAAUUCUUCUCUCUCUAGGACCGAUAGUCCAUCACAGAAGAGUGAAAAGCUUUACCUUCUAGCUGUUGGUUGUUAUUGAAGUGGUAAGUAUUUAAGGAGCCUGCAGCUUGUAUAGACAUGUUUGGAGAUUAAACCUGAUUGGAGGCGGGCUUCGUACCUUGAGAAGACAAUAAAAGAACAAAUUACAGAAGAUGGCGUCAUUGGAAUUGGCAUUUCAGUUACUACUGUGGUACUUAUAGCUGGUGGAAUUAUAACUGCAUUAGCUAGAAGAAAAUCAUGAUGACGGAUUGUUAUUUUAAGAGUAAUUUCCCUGAUUUGCGGUUUCCAAUCUUGGAAGAUGAUGCAUUUUAACCCUAUUAACUAUGAACUGAUGUCCUUUCUGUUACUUUUAGUUCAAGUCAAGACUGUAAAUAUAUAUUUCAAUGGAUUUCAUAUAGCACCUCCGGAAACAAAGCAUAUUAUCUCAAUUAAGAUGUGUGGGCAUUCUGGGCAAGCUGUAGAGUCGCACCGCGCAUCGCGCGGUGUUCACCUCCUAGUUUGUUAUGAAGCACCAUCGAGACUUCUAUUGGGAA